rnacentral:rRNA from 1 species
AAAAAAGUAAAUUUUUAACCUAAAUUAGUAAAAGUUAAGUUCUUGAAAAUUAAGAAAAAUGGCGGUACUUUAGUCUAUUCAGAGGAACCUGUCCUGUAAUUGAUAAUCCACGUUUUUAUGUACUUAUUUUUUUAGUUUGCAUAUCGCCGUAAUUAGAGUAUUUUUGUUGGAUUUUAAUACUCAAGAUUUUAAUUUGAAAUAAUAUCAGGUCAAGAUGUAGUUUAUAAAUAAGAGGGAGAUGGGUUACAGUAAAAUUAUUUUUGGAUAUUUUUUUUAAAAACUAUUGAAAAUGGAUUUGAGGGUAAUUUGUUAAUAAAAUUUGAUAGAUGAUUAAAGCUCUAAA